CCUACGGGAGGCAGCAGUGGGGAAUAUUGGGCAAUGGGCGCAAGCCUGACCCAGCAACGCCGCGUGAAGGAAGAAGGCUUUCGGGUUGUAAACUUCUUUUCUCAGGGACGAAGAAAGUGACGGUACCUGAUGAAUAAGCCACGGCUAACUACGUGCCAGCAGCCGCGGUAAUACGUAGGUGGCAAGCGUUAUCCGGAUUUAUUGGGUGUAAAGGGCGUGUCGGCGGGAGCGCAAGUCAGAUGUGAAAACUCAGGGCUCAACCCUGAGUCUGCAUUUGAAACUGUGUUUCUUUAGUGCUGGGGAGGCAAUCGGAAUUCCGGGUGUAGCGGUGAAAUGAGUAGAUAUACGGAGGAACACCAGUGGCGAAGGCGGAUUGCUGGACAGUAACUGACGCUGAGGCGCGAAAGCGUGGGGAGCAAACAGGAUUAGAUACCCCAGUAGUC
rnacentral:rRNA from 1 species